UCUGGUUCUGGUCUAUGUUUUGUCGUCAGUCAGUUGUCGUUGUCAAGCAGGUUUAUUUAACCUCAAACCAUAGCUAAAUAGAAAAUAGUCGCAGGGGAUGAGGAGUGAGGUGGAAGAUGCUUUGUUCCCGUCGUCUCUCGACAAUCCCUCUCACCGUUCUCACAGCCAUCCUUGUCAUGAUAAUAUUCAUUACAAAGCAAGUUAAGGAUCUGUACGAAAGAAACCAAAAGUUCCAUCGCAUGGAGAACUACAAUCAAUUUAUUAGCGAGGUGUCUUCAUCAAUGACAUCGCUAGAGUCGUCUGUAAACAAAACUUCAAACACCCUUCAUCAGCUGAGCGACGUGUUGCAAAGGCAUCACAACAGAUGACACAUGGAUUUGUCUCUAGCAUCUUCUCUCCAUAUAGCUGUUCACCAAAUCGUUUAACGACUUUCUACUCCUAACAGGUCUAAAAUUGUUAAUGUUUUUGUUAUUGUCUAAAAUGUCAAUUUUUCACUUGUAGGCUAUUUGAAUAAUCUAAAUGUUUGUAAUUUGGUACUUGAGUAUUAGAUGGAAAAACUUGUUUGUUAUUGAGCCAGUAGAAAUAGCUUUAUGAAAUCAAAGUUUAAAUAUUUAUACCUGUUGUAGUUUUCUAGUUUAUCUGUUUUAUGUGUAGACAAGAUGUAACCUUGUAGUAUUAAUGUUGUUCCUAACUUAUAUAGACAAAAUGUUAAGUUUUAAUCAAAUUGUGAAAUA